rnacentral:rRNA from 1 species
ACGUAGGGGGCGAGCGUUGUCCGGAAUUACUGGGCGUAAAGGGCGCGUAGGCGGCAUAUUAAGUUAGAUGUGAAAUUCCCGGGCUUAACCUGGGCGUUGCAUUUAAAACUGAUAAGCUUGAGUGCCGGAGAGGAAAGCGGAAUUCCUAGUGUAGCGGUGAAAUGCGUAGAUAUUAGGAGGAACAUCAGUGGCGAAGGCGGCUUUCUGGACGGUAACUGACGCUGAGGCGCGAAAGCGUGGGUAGCAAACAG